AACCAGAAGGCGUAAUGAAAGUGAAGGCACGGUCGCCGUGCUGAGGUGAGAGCCGGCCCCGACGGGACGGCGCAUCAUCGACCGAUCCCAUCCGCACUGCUCGCAGUGUGGCGGGAUUCGAGUGAGAGUGUACCUGUUGCGACCCGAAAGAUGGUGAACUAUGCCUGAAUAGGGUGAAGCCAGAGGAAACUCUGGUGGAGGCCCGUAGCGAUUCUGACGUGCAAAUCGAUCGUCAAAUUUGGGUAUAGGGGCGAAAGACUAAUCGAACCAUCUAGUAGCUGGUUCCCUCCGAAGUUUCCCUCAGGAUAGCUGUAGCCCGAAGCAGUUUUAUCAGGUAAAGCGAAUGAUUAGAGGUAUCGGGGAAGAAACUUCCUCGACCUAUUCUCAAACUUUAAAUAGGUAAGAAGUCCGACUUGCUUAAUCUGAAGCCGGACACAGAAUGCUGGGUUACUAGUGGGCCAUUUUUGGUAAGCAGAACUGGCGAUGCGGGAUGAACCGAACGCAGAGUUAAGGUGCCAAAGUCGACGCUCAUCAGAUCCCACAAA
rnacentral:rRNA from 1 species